rnacentral:rRNA from 1 species
CGGCUAACUACGUGCCAGCAGCCGCGGUAAUACGUAGGGUGCGAGCGUUAAUCGGAAUUACUGGGCGUAAAGCGUGCGCAGGUGGUUGUGUAAGUCAGAUGUGAAAUCCCCGGGCUCAACCUGGGAACUGCAUUUGAGACUGCACGGCUAGAGGAUGGCAGAGGGGGGUAGAAUUCCACGUGUAGCAGUGAAAUGCGUAGAGAUGUGGAGGAAUACCGAUGGCGAAGGCAGCCCCCUGGGCUAUUACUGACACUCAUGCACGAAAGCGUGGGGAGCAAACAGGAUUAGAUACCCUGGUAGUCCACGCCCUAAACGAUGUCAACUGGAUGUUGGGAGGGUUAAACCUCUUAGUGUCGUAGCUAACGCGUGAAGUUGACCGCCUGGGGAGUACGGCCGCAAGGCUAAAACUCAAAGGAAUUGACGGGGACCCGCACAAGCGGUGGAUGAUGUGGAUUAAUUCGAUGCAACGCGAAAAACCUUACCUACCCUUGA